ACUCAAAGGAAUUGACGGGGACCCGCACAAGCGGUAGAGCAUGUGGUUUAAUUCGAAGCAACGCGAAGAACCUUACCAAGUCUUGACAUCCCUCUGACCGGCCCGUAACGGGGCCUUCCCUUCGGGGCAGAGGAGACAGGUGGUGCAUGGUUGUCGUCAGCUCGUGUCGUGAGAUGUUGGGUUAAGUCCCGCAACGAGCGCAACCCCUAUCCUUAGUAGCCAGCAGGUGAAGCUGGGCACUCUAGGGAGACUGCCGGGGAUAACCCGGAGGAAGGCGGGGACGACGUCAAAUCAUCAUGCCCCUUAUGAUUUGGGCUACACACGUGCUACAAUGGCGUAAACAAAGGGAAGCGAGACAGCGAUGUUGAGCAAAUCCCAAAAAUAACGUCCCAGUUCGGACUGCAGUCUGCAACUCGACUGCACGAAGCUGGAAUCGCUAGUAAUCGCGAAUCAGAAUGUCGCGGUGAAUACGUUCCCGGGUCUUGUACUCACCGCCCGUC
rnacentral:rRNA from 1 species